rnacentral:tRNA from 1 species
AAUAAAGUGCCUGAAUAAAGGAUUAUUCUGAUAGAAUAAAUAAUGUAAUAUAAAUUACCUUUAUUA